ensembl:antisense Gm15485 predicted gene 15485
GGCAGAAUUAUUUCUGGAUAUACAACAUGGAAAGUCCUGAUUCCUUAACUUCUGUGAUACUGGACUUAUUGCCAUGCUAGAUGUUUGGAACAAACAUGAAGAAUUCAGAGGUUUCUGAAUGUCUCACAGCUGAUAUAUGCAACCACACCUGCAGCCUUCAAUCCAGCUUGCUGAGCUUUUAAAACAAGAGAUGACACAUUAGUUCAUCACUCCAAAAGUUUUGAGAAACUUAAAAUAAAACAUUUAUUAUUAUUAUUA